ACGUGGGCAAUCUGCCCUUCACUCUGGGACAAGCCCUGGAAACGGGGUCUAAUACCGGAUAACACUCCUACCCGCAUCUGUGGGGGUUGAAAGCUCCGGCGGUGAAGGAUGAGCCCGCGGCCUAUCAGCUUGUUGGUGAGGUAGAAGCUCACCAAGGCGACGACGGGUAGCCGGCCUGAGAGGGCGACCGGCCACACUGGGACUGAGACACGGCCCAGACUCCUACGGGAGGCAGCAGUGGGGAAUAUUGCACAAUGGGCGAAAGCCUGAUGCAGCGACGCCGCGUGAGGGAUGACGGCCUUCGGGUUGUAAACCUCUUUCAGCAGGGAAGAAGCGAAAGUGACGGUACCUGCAGAAGAAGCGCCGGCUAACUACGUGCCAGCAGCCGCGGUAAUACGUAGGGCGCAAGCGUUGUCCGGAAUUAUUGGGCGUAAAGAGCUCGUAGGCGGUCUGUCGCGUCGGAUGUGAAAGCCCGGGGCUUAACCCCGGG
rnacentral:rRNA from 1 species